CCCUAAAGGACCAGACACUAUGUGAGUCAUAUAAGGGAAGGCAUUAUAGGAUUCGUAGUGCCAGGUGUUGUGUGGG
ensembl:miRNA